GUUUCGAUGUUUCUGUGUUGGUAUGAUGUACUCAGGUGAAUGAUGCUUGUGAUGUUACUCUGAGUGCCGAUAUCCGGUUCAGAAAUAUCGCAUACUCGAACCGUCCUGACCGCGUAGCUCAGUUGGCAGAGCAUUGGGCUAGUAUUCCAAAGGUCGUAGGUUCGAUUCCCACCGUGGCCAGGCAUAUUUUUCAAGCUCGCCCGGUGUGGAUAUGCACUCAGAGUAACAACACAAACAUCAAAUGUAGUUUCCUUGUCGUAAUUUUGACGGUGUUAUUUUUCUAGGCAAGGCAUUGAUGAAGGAGACAUCAGCUUAGCCGAGUCAUUACCAUUUUUUACGACACCAAUUUCGCUCUUACCGUUUCAUGUGGUGUUUAAGAUGGGGCUAGACCGAGGAUGUUUUUAUCAGUUUGUUUGUUUUCUGCGACUGUUCACGCUCUUUCAAGAUGGGAGGAUACAAAUGAACUGGGACGAGAGAAACACGGCACACACAGGUCAGUGUUCAUAUAGCCUGCGUGGCAGGCGGUUUUUUUACGGGCUGCGAAAAUUAUGGAGGCAAUGGAAACCUAGUUUUCACAGCCCGUACAAAAAUCCGCCUGCCACACAGGACAGUGUUCAUAUUCAACGAUGAAUUAUAGCUUGCGCCAUUCAUGAUACACGUGAACGACAGCUAAGGCUAAAGGCUCGGUUUUUGGUCAGGGGGGGACAUUCAAACCACAAUAGAAAACUCUACUUGUAUUUUCCACUUCGACCGUAUCGUAGCGUAGCGUAUUCCUUUGUUUCUUGAGCACUAGAGUAGAACUAAUGACUUCGACACAAAAGAAAAUGCUACGAUACGAUACGGAAGUGGAAAACAGUCUUGGCGUAAAACUCACUACAACUAUUUCAAGACUAGAUCAAUGGACCUAUUCCCUAAUGAACAAAAGUUUGAUCUAGACAAGUCUAGACAAAAAUUUCAUCACAGCUUGAAAGAGCAUCACAAAAUUAGUAAUAUUCCGAAGUUUCGUUGCGAAAUGUUGUAAAAUGCGGAAAAUAUAACCCUACGAAGUUUGCCGUUUUUCAGUCAUUUUGUAUUAUAUACGCACAGGAAAUUGAUACCUUUCUUCAGAAAGCGGUAUCAAUUUCCCGCGCGUAAUACAAAAUGACUGAAAAACGGCUAACUUCGCAGGGCUAUAUUACUGAUCCGCAUUUUACAACAUUUCGCAACAAAACUUCGGAAUAUUACUAAUUUUGUGAUGCUCUUUCAAGCUGUGAUGAAAUGUUUGUCUAGACUACUUGUCUAGAUCAAAAUUUUGUUCAUUAGGGAAUAGGUCCAUUCUCUU